rnacentral:rRNA from 1 species
GACGAACGCUGGCGGCGUGCUUAACACAUGCAAGUCGAACGGAAAGGCCCUGCUUUUGUGGGGUGCUCGAGUGGCGAACGGGUGAGUAACACGUGAGUAACCUGCCCUUGACUUUGGGAUAACUUCAGGAAACUGGGGCUAAUACCGGAUAGGAGCUCCUGCUGCAUGGUGGGGGUUGGAAAGUUUGGGCGGUUGGGGAUGGACUCGCGGUUUAUCAGCUUGUUGGUGGGGUAGUGGCUUACCAAGGCUUUGACGGGUAGCCGGCCUGGGAGGGUGACCGGCCACAUUGGGACUGAGAUACGGCCCAGACUCCUCCGGGAGGCAGCAGUGGGGAAUAUUGCACAAUGGGCGGAAGCCUGAUGCAGCAACGCCGCGUGCGGGAUGACGGCCUUCGGGUUGUAAACCGCUUUCGCCUGUGACGAAGCGUGAGUGACGGUAAUGGGUAAAGAAGCACCGGCUAACUACGUG